UCAACCUCUAAAAAUACAAGGAAAAGCAAAGAAAUGGGCCCUCCUGUGGGGAGCAAGAAGACUAACUGCAUGUAUCAACAACAAAAUGAAUAACGAUCUAAUUAAAUAUAGUACAACACAAACACUCACUGGGGACUAAGUCUUGUGUGGCAUGGAAUACCGGAGAACAGAGUGGGCAAAGGAAUCCCUAAUUGCUGCCACAGUAUCGCAAGGACCUGUCAUUUCAUAACCAUCGAGAAACACAAUACUCUUUUGUGAAGUGCAUUAGGUACAUCUGUGGCACUAAUCACUGGAGUAUUUGAGCACAUGGAAAUGAUUAAAGAUACAUCAAAAUUACUUCUAGAAGGUAUCCCAAAUCGAAAUAAUACUCUUUCUUUUGUGAACAAAGACUUUCCUUACUCCAGCUCUAGAAGCAUACAAACCCCAUCAUUAAUAUAAUAAAAGCUACUUGUAAGAAUGCACAGCAAACCAGUCUUCUUCUUGCAGCUCUACUUAUAAGACAAC
rnacentral:lncRNA from 1 species